GGGCUGGAAGGAAGCAGCGGUUGGCAGC
rnacentral:SRP_RNA from 11 species